CUGGCCAAGUUCGCCGAUGACACCAAACUUUGGGGCAAAGCAUCCACACCAGAAGACAGGCAGAUGAUCCAGGCUGACCUGGACAGGCUCAGCAAGUGGGCGGACAAGAAUCUGAUGGCAUUCAACGCCGAUAAAUGCAAGGUUCUCCACCUUGGGAAGAAAAACCCGCAGCAUCCUUAUAGGCUCGGCAGUGCUAUGCUGGCUAGCACUAUGGAAGAAAGAGACUUGGGGGUCAUCAUUGACCACAAGAUGAACAUGAGCCUGCAAUGCGAUGCUGUGGCUAGUAAAGCGACCAAAACGCUGGCUUGCAUCCAUAGAUGCUUCUCAAGCAAAUCCCGGGACAUCAUUUUUCCCUUGUACUCGGCCUUAGUGAGGCUGCAGCUGGAGUACUGCGUCCAGUUUUGGGCUCCACAAUUCAAAAAGGAUGUGGAGAAGCUUGAGAGAGUCCAGAGAAGAGCCACGCGCAUGAUCAGAGGUCAGGGAAGCAGACCCUACGAUGACAGGCUGAGAGCCCUGGGGCUCUUUAGCCUGGAAAAGCGCAGGCUCAGGGGUGAUCUGAUGGCCACCUACAAAUUUAUCAGGGGUGACCACCAGUAUCUAGGGGAACGUUUGUUCACCAGAGCACCCCAAGGGAUGACGAGGUCGAAUGGUCACAAACUACUACAAGAUCGUUUCAGGCUGGACAUAAGGAAGAAUUUCUUUCCUGUCCGAGCCCCCAAGGUCUGGAACAGCCUGCCACCGGAGGUUGUUCAAGCGCCUUCAUUGAAUACCUUCAAGAUGAAACUGGAUGCUUAUCUUGCUGGGAUCCUAUGACCCCAGCUGACGUCCUGCCCUUUGGGCGGGGGGCUGGACUCGAUGAUCUUCUGAGGUCCCUUCCAGCCCUAAUGCCUAUGAAACCUAUGAAGUGAUGAUUCCAGAUGGGAAACUAAAACCCUAUCACUGCUUAGAAAAUGGAUUCACUAAAGCAACUAGGAUUCGUCUCCUUUGACCCUCUCUUGCUAACCUGAGAUAAAGAGGAGCUGAAGUGUUCCCUUACAGGGGCCCAGGCAAGCCUAAGAGUAGUUGGGGAAAAGGCAUAAAUUAGUAUCCUUGUAGCAGAGGCUUAAAUACCAUAAAUUAAAACAAAGAAACCUUUUGUUUUGGUGCAGAUAGGUGGAAGUGUCCUAUACAGUAGGUAAAGCAGGCUAUUCAGCCACUGACCUCUGCUUCAGCACCAACAAGGGGGCAGUUGUAUUGGUGACUUCAUCUAACAAUGAAGGGUGUUUCCUAUGAAAGCUAUUGCCUCUCUGAACCAGUUAGUCUCUAAGGUGCUACCCGACCCGACCCUACCUUCUGCUUUGUGGCUCCAAUGACACCUGUUUGCUAGGAAGCAGCUGAGACCCAAGCAUGGCACAUAAGCCACUGAGCAGCCAUUGGAGGACAGAGUCACUUGCUAUCAAGCUGAGUGUAAUUAGAAUCAGCUGCUUAGCAGGGGGCAAGAGGCUUCAUAGCCUAUUACCCCUCUCAGGAGUCACAUAGUUCUCUUUCAGGAAGAUACAAGCCAUGUAGGGACACUACAUUUGCAGCGCUAUACGUGCCCUUGUUGCGCCACAGAAAUCAAGCACAGACAUGUACGCCCCUGUAGCCCUACAAAAAUAGUGGAAGUGCUGCAAAAUACUGCUGGCUGAAACAGGCAACUAGCACUAUGUCUAACGUGUGCACAGUGAUAGAGGUUGAAAUACAAAUAUUGGGCCAGCAGUUGUAGCGUAAAUCAAAAGAAAUGCUAUUGAAGCCAAUGGGUUUAUUCCAGAUUUACCCUCAGGGUCCUACAACAAGGAAUAAACCCAUUGUCUCCAUGAGCCAAAGGUGCUGAGAACUGCCAUUUCCCUUUCCUGUCUGUGCUUUUCUCUGUUAAGCUUCUGCCUCUAAUGCAACCUAUAAUGGGUAUUAAAGAGCCUGUUCCUGAGCUGGUGUAUAUCAGUGUAGUGCUAGUGAAGCCUAUGGAGGCGGACUGAUUCAUAUCAAGAGAAGUUUGGCCCAAUGUUGAUAUUGUUUUUCUGUCUUCCUAUAAUUCCACAUUCUCUCAUGAAAUAAUGCUGAGCAGCCUUGUCAACACAAUUUCAUAGCAAUGCUAGAGCCUACCUUUCGUGCAGUAUUUCUGAGUAUGCCCACUCCAGAAACCGUUUGGGAAAAUAGAUUGAAAAAAUCCAUCAGAAACAGCAGCACCAGGCUGUUUUCAGUUCAUAUCUGGCUCUUAAUCAUAUGCUGGAGCUCCCAGAAACAUAGCUGGAUAUGCAUGCCCAUGAGUAUUCAUUAAGAAAAAAAAACCUAACUAAACUUUGUCUGUCCCUACUUAUACUCAGCCAUUGUGCAAAGGCCUAGUAGAUCAUCAUACUUUCCACUUCUUCAGUCUGGGGACCUGGGGAGUCUUAGUGAUUAAUGAAGCCUCACAACAGCCAUAUCCCCAUUUUACAGAUAGGGAAAACUCAUGCCGAAUCCACACCUGCCAACACCCAGGCUUGCAUUUUCACCAUGCUAGCCUUCCUUCCCCUCCAGACGUUGGCAACGAACAGAAAUGCCACCUGGCACCAGUGCUAAAUUUGCCUUUUUUUGAAGAUUCUAAAAUUUCUGCUGGGAAGGAAACAGCAAUAUCAUCAUCAUCAUCAUCAUCAAGCUGGGACGAAAAGUUAUACCUUGCCUUCUACUCUGGGUAAAUACAUUGUCUCAGUGUACCUGGAUCUGGAUAUCUUAGAGAGUCUGGUUCCAAUUAUCUACCUCCUAAAGACUCUAGUUGCUCCACACUGAAAAUAUAGGAGCUGAAUUCUGAUCAGCUACACCGAAGUCUGGAACAGCCCCAAUGGUGAAACCAAGAUCAGCCUCCAGCCCUUAUUGUCUAUUUCUACCAUGCUACAGGAAUUAUACAGAAUACAUUGAAGUAGAUAAGGAGUUCAGGAGAACAAACAUAGCCAAAGUCCCCUAAGUAUACAGGUCAUAUUUCCCCAAAAUAGAGACAUCUGCAUCUCCAAAUUUAGAAAUGAUUUUUCCCUUUCCAAAUGGGUAAUAACCCAGGGAGCGCUGUACAUAUUUUUUUUUUCUGUUUUGAAUUCUGUUAGCUGACAAUUUAACCUAAAAUCCUUCGUAUUUUCUACUUGUUCAGCUGUAAAUAGAGACUGACAGUUUAUUUUCAACAUCCUGGUUAAAAAAAAAAAAGAAAAAACAUUUGAAAUAAAUACUUAUGGCUCCAUGACAGACUACAGACGUGAAGUCGAUGCUCCAUAGCAAUCUCUUGGAGCUGUCACACUCUGUGAUCGGUCUUUUACAAACACAAACACUGUUGAUUUCUUAUCAAAUGUAAAACCUCCACAGCUCUUUCUUAAAUGGUUACCACUAGCAUGAAAUUGACAUUGUGAAUCACAUGUGACACUGACUUGUCUGCCUUGUAAUUGAUCUGUGCUUAGGAAAGGAGACAGAGCCUGUACAAGCUUCAGUCCCAAUCACUGAGUCUUCAGCACAUACCAAGCUCUCAGCAAUCUGCUCAGGACCCAAGUGAUGGCAAAUUGUUCUAAAUGAUAGAAAACUGUAAGGAGGAGGAAGAGGGGGGAAAGGAGCUUGAUUCAUCUAAGUUGUGUGUGUAUGUGUGUGUGUUUUUAAUACUGAUUCUCUGAGGUGUCAAUUUCAAUUUCAAUGGAUUCAUUAUUAUGCACAUCAAACUGCUGUAAUUGGCUGCUACAGAAAUUUAUUCCUUAAAAAAAAAAAAAAAAGAGAGGGAGAGAGAGAGGGAGAGGGGAUGUGAGAUGGCACAUUAAAGAGGGUUUGGAAGCUGCCUGUGCCAUCUUGAGAUUGGCAGAAAAAAAGAGAGAUUGGCAUGCUAACAGGAUCCCAUUCUCUUUGGUUAACCAAAUGCCACAUGAAAACAAAAGUCUGUCGAGGUGUCAGUGUCAGAUUGAAACUGCAAACAGAAAGCUCCGGUUCCAGAAGCCGGAGCCCCCGCCCACUGUCUCAUCAUCGUGCUGCCAUCUAAGAGCAGACGGGGGGCUCUCUUUGCAAUGCUUAGCUUUGCUUUGCUGCGUGGGGUUGCUUUCCAUCUCUCUCCCCGCCUUCCCACUCCCUUACAUUUCUCAGUGGCAGCCUCUCUCCCUGGCUAUUCGGGAUCAUUGUCCAAGAAAUUCACAUUCUGCCUUUUCAGGGCAUCAGUUUACUAAAUGAGGCCUCCACAUUCAGAUCGUGAUCUACUACCUACCUGUGAGGGAGAGCUUAAAAAAAAAAAAAAAAAAAAAAAAAAAAAAGCUUUCAGAGCCCCCUCUAACUCUGGGUCUUUUUCAAGCAGCCCAAAGUUACUAUACUCUUUGGUUGUCUAUUGUGAAGUCUGUAUUGCUGUGGUUUGGGGUGAAUGUAGAAAAUAAACUAGAGCAUCAAAUAUUUACAUAAAAGUAUUUUGAAUAUAUAUAAUUAUGUUCUUAUUGGCUGGGAAUGCAAGUAGAAAUAAAAUGUUCCAUCUAUUUAUAUAAUGGAAUAAUCAAUCUAUAUAAAACUAAUCUAUUUUUCAUGCCACAUAUUUAUCUAAUCUGAAAUAUAUUAGUUACCAUGGAGCAAUGAUGUCACUCAUAUGAAUGACAUCUACGAAGACUAAAGUUAGUUUCUCUGUAACUACAGAGCCUGAUUCCUCUAUGCAUAUGCUUGACUUACCCAUGCGAGUACUCUCACUGAAGCCCAUAGCAUUACUCACUAGUGUCAAAUAAAGUGCGUCUUCAGAGAAUACAAUAUCAGGGCCUAGCCUUGUGUACCCAGGUUAUGAAAUAUCACGGUUAAUGUUAUGCUUAUCCUUCUGAAUAUAUUAUAUACACAUGAAUAGGAGCAUGUGUACACAUGUAAAUUUGAGCCUCUGCUCAUUUGUAUCUUAUCCAAAGUCAAGCAAAUACAUGCAAUGAAUUCUGAAGGUCAGUAAUCACUCAUGUUUAUAGUUGUUUGGAGCAGUUCAGGAAGUGGUGGUGGCAGAGUGUGUGUGUGUGUGUGUGUGUGUGUGUGUGUACACACACACUUGCACGCACACACACACACACACUUGCACGCACACACAUGCACGCACGCAUAUAUUACCCAUUGUGAGAAGUUUAACUUAAUGCGAUGUCGCAUUUAAUUUAUGGAAUGCACCCAGUUGCUAUGGCACUGAGUACAUUAAAAAGAAACUCAAUCAAUAAAUAAGUGAAAUUGUUGUCAAUAGGAAUUUUGUACGAAGAUGAACAGUAGAUCAUGACCCUUUAUUCAGAGGGGUAGGGGAGUUAUAAUUUCUUUUACUCUUUUUGAAUGUAGCUUCACCAUCACUUAAGAGAAAGGUGUUUCCUGAAUGAGAGCUAUGUCAGUAUUGAUUUUGUUCAAGAAUAAUAUAAAUGUUUUCCUUUUGCCAGAUUUAUUGAGACCUUUGACAUUCCAGGAAAGGAUUUUCAUAUUCAAGUCUAAAACUUACUGUCUGGUGCGUCCAAAGAAAAUGAAUCUGGGUAGCAGAACGACAAACGUAUUUGUGGGGAAAGACCUUUGAUAUGUAAUGCUGAUUAUUCUGAGAACCCAGCCGGGUAUAGUCAAGUGGCCUGCCAUUAGCAGGAAUCAUGAGAAGAUAUUCAGUAACACGUAACAGAGCACACCCUAGCCGAACAAGAAUUCCAGACCUGAUCAUCCUCGGAAAGGUGUUUGUCCUUGGAGGUGAAAGUCUCGUGAGACCUAUCAGCAGGAAUGAUACUUCCAGGAAUCUCUGAUUUCGCUGGGGAAGAAAGAGUGGGUGUCUUGUUUAACAUUACAAAUGACCUUUAUCGUUACCUUUCCUAUCUCAGAUCAAGAGAGUCCUGGAAAUAAUAAACCACAGAACUCAAUUUAACGUCCCCAGAACUCUGUUAAUUCACAUCAUCUGGGCAGACAGUUUCUCAGAUUAGCAAAUCCAUGCCCAUCUGAGGUGCAGCUCAGCCAGAUCUGAGCAGGGGACAGGGAUGGCCUUUGAGGAACCUUGCAAGACUGGAGAGAGCUCUUGCAUUUGAGAAGCUGCUGAAAAGCCGGCGUGAGGAGGUGCUCUGAGAAAGAUUGAUGAGAGCUCACAUAUCACUACCCGACCCUUUCUCUAACUGCCAGGGAAGGACGGUAAGGGGCAUCUGGGGGUCACGUGGUCAGAUUUGGGGAGUCGGGUUGAUUCAGAUAUGGAGCUCAAAUCUAAGCAAGGAAAACAACAUUAUGUGGACUAAGUUAUUUUUGCUACAUGAUUAUGCCAUUGAUCACAAGAAACGACCGGCCGUUGAAUCCCCCUGUGAAAGCAAUUAGGAUACAGCAAUGGGGAAAGAGCAGAAAGGAGGUAAGGUAACGCUGAUGCCGCAGGAGCCAGAUAGAUUACUAACCCAAAGCCCAGGUCUCAGGCACUGUUCUACACUGCCACACCAUGACAUUGCUAUUGUGCAGCAUGGGAAUAUCCCACGGGUCUCUGCAUAUUGCAAGGAGAUAAAGUUUCAGGUUGUCCGGGAAGAGGCAGAGUCAUGGCUGGGGGUAUCUGGCGGUCAGAGAUGCUGUUCCCAGGUUAUGGCUGUGAGAAAAAUAAGAGAAAGGGAGAGUGCAGGAGUGCCCUUGGAAAGGUCGUCCUGGGCUCAGAAGGUGAGAAGAGCUGUAACAAGGGAUUCUCAUGAACCUCAGUGACCCCCAGGCUGGUCCCGAUUGUGACGGUCCGUGUUGGCAAGGAGCUGCCUUGCAGCACUCGGGAGCUCUGACUGACAGCUGAUAUUUAGAGCUGAGCUGGACAAGGAUCACAGGUGUUACACAGAUGCUUAAUAAGUUGACACCCCCCAAGUGCAGAGAAAUAGGCCCUAUGGCUCCCUCUUCUUUAGGAGCUGCCUCAGAUUGACGUCAGAUGGGUCGGUGAGAAGCAAGGACCCUACAAAAGGCAACGUAAACACUCAGUGCAGCCUCACGUACCUGGUGUUUCUCUGACUCGGGCAAACCAAGUCUACUGAAAAAUUCCACCAAAUAUUCCCUGGGAAACUCUGACACAGCCCUAAUACAAGAUCCAUCUGAAGGAUGGAUUAGGACCUGAAACAGUCAAGCCUUGGGGUCUGGAUUCAGGAAUGAAUGUAUUUAUUUGUGAGAAGUACUUGACCACACAGAAUAUGCUAUCUUGACAACACCAUGAAUUGCAAGUCAUGGUAUAGGAAGAGAAAGUUUAUAUGCCAUAAUGUCAAUUAGAAUGUAUCUGCAUAUGUGUAUGAGUUUAUAUAAUUCUUAAAUAAAGUGCCAUUGUUGGAACAA